rnacentral:tRNA from 1 species
CCGCGCCAUCACGCACGGCUGCUACGUGCGCGCGCUGCGGCCGCGCGAGCAAUUGCGCGAGGUGUUCGAACGGCUGGAUCUCGCCGGCAGCGCGCA